AGCUUUGCGCAGUGGCAGUAUCGUAGCCAAUGAGGUGUAUCCGACGUGUGAUUAUUGCUAAUUGAAAACUUUUCCCAGCUACUCAGGAGGCUGAAGCAGGAGAAUUGCCUGAACCCAGG
rnacentral:snRNA from 1 species